UUACUUAAGUAGCAUUACUUAUUAUUCUGUUCAGGUUUUAGAUUUUUUCAUGGUUCAAUCUUAGUAGGUUUUAGACUUCUAGGAAUAUAUUCAUCUCGCAUAGGUUUUCCAAUUUAUUGGUAUAUAGUUACUCAUUGUAGCCUCUGAUGAUCCUUUGAAUUUCUGCAGUAUUGGUGACUAAGUCACAAGUCAAAGUUCUUCUCACUCUUCUCCAUCCCACAAACAGGUUAUGGAAGAGUGGUAGUGGUCUCUCCUCAUGAUCACUACUACCCCAGGCCCAUGACAAGCACUGCCAUAAUACCGGUGUUCACUCAGGGUCCAACAGCUCUUCAGUCAGCCUCUCGUGAAUGCUGCCAGGCCUGGGACUCUCACUUCAGGACAGUGGGCUUGUCUCUGACUCAGGGCACAUCCAGGAAUAUCAUCCAAGAGCCAGGGCUUAGAAUCGGGGACCCCCGAGAGUCCACUUGAUGUUCUACCUGACUGUGGCCGAGCCUGGUACCUAAACUGCAAGACAAAGUUCCUUUUACUCUUCCUUCUCCUCUUCUCAGGCAGGAGUUUCUCCCUGUAGCCGGCACAGCUGGGAAUGUGCUGAGUCAUACCUGAAGCCAGCACAUCUCAGAGUCUCACUGAAGGCUCAUGGGCAAGUAUUGCCUGAGUACUGCUGCUGAUUAUUCAAGGCCCAAGGGCUCUUUAGUCAGCUGGUAAUUAAUUCUGCCCAGGACUGCGUCCUUUUCUUCAAGGCAGUGGGUUCCCUUUGGUUGAAGGUAUGUCUAGAAAUGUUGUCUGGAAGUUAGGGCCUGGAAUGGGAACUCAGGGCAGGACUCUGCCUGGUCCUCAGUUCUACUGUGGCUAAGCUGAUAUCCAAGUUGCAAAAAGUCCCCUUUACUCUCCCCUCUCCUCUCCUCAAGCAGAAGAAAUGAGUUCUUUUUGAGCUGGGAGCUGUGCCUGCCUGGGUUUGGGGAAGGGGUGGCACAGGCACUCUCUUGGCCACCCUGUGGCAUACACUAGAUUGCAUGCCCCGAAGUCCACGGACACCAAGCACUGCACAGCACCAGCACUUACCCAAUAAUUGCAGUCCCUGUGGGCUAAACUGCUUUUCAGGUUUAUUAAGGACCCGAAAGCACUUUAGACCGUGGUGGUCAGGCUUGCCAGAACUUAAGUCUGACCACUGGGAUGGGUGAUUCCCCUUUGGCUGGGGUUGGUCUAAAUGCUCCCUCCAUAUGUGGGCACUGGCUGAGCUCUGCUUGGUGUUGCUUUCUGCUGUGACAGGACAGCACUGAGUUUGUUCCAAUGCAAAGUCCCACAAUCACUGCACUCUCCUUCCUGCAAGUGCACACAUUCUCUCUUUCUUGGUGCCAUGCAGCUCUUGCUGUGGAUUGGGGGAGGGGCAGCGUUGAUGAUUCAAGACUGUCUUUCCUACCCUUUUCAGCGCUUUUUCAGUGAUCUGAAAUUAAAAGCAGGUAUUAGGAUUGCUCAUAUGAUUUUUAGCUCUUAUGAAGGUGCUUUUUUGUGUGGAAAUUUGUUCAGGUUGGUGUUCCUGCAGAAAGAACAGUUGGUGGAGGCUUCUAUUUGGCCAUCUUGCUCCAUCUUUCCCACAAAAAAUCAUUUUAAAAUUAAAAAUAAUGAACUCAGAUAUGAGUUUAAUUAGUACUCCAGGUGUUUCUAAAACUGUACUUCACUUACAGAGCCCAUUUUGAAUGGAUGCUUUUAUUCUAGGGAUCCUGAAGGCAAAGGUGAACAUCAAACCUUGGUUUCUUCCAGUAAAAAACAUUUGGGGACCAUGGCAAUAUAGGACCAUUAAGCAGAGAAAUGGAAUUGUGGACCAGGUAGAAAGAUGAGGGCGUGGAAAUGAUUUUGACACAUUGAGAGAUGCUAGGUAGUCAGGAGCACUGACUCCACAAGGCAUGUCAGGCUCUGGCAAUUGUUUGGUUGUCCCAUUUGGAAAGAAACUUAAUCAUUGUAAUACAUAGAUGUUAAACUGCUUAUCUAGAGAGAUGAGGCCAAGAAUGAAGGAGAAAGAUGCUGAUUAACAGGCAGAAGAAUGCCAAAGUGAAAUGGCUAUUUCGCUUUUCAAGGACCACCUUUACCUUCAAGACAACAUCCUACAAGUAAAUACAUAAAUUCGCCGAUGUUUCUGGGUUUUCAGCCCUUUAACUGUAAUAUUAUUUUUAACAGAAUGCUCACCUAGUCAUUUCAAGUGCCACUCAGGACGGUGUGUUCUGGCUUCCAGAAGAUGUGAUGGCCAGGCCGACUGUGACGAUGACAGUGAUGAGGAAAACUGUGACAAAAUGUCACAAGCAAUCAACUGAAAUCCUGUCAGCUCCUAUAAAUAUGGACAAGUGCAUCUUCUGGAAAACUCCAGCUGUCAGAAUGAUGGUACAAUGGCUGGGUAAUUUUGUUGUGGAGGAAUGUACAGUGUUUUGAGAAGCUACUAUUGUUUGCUUGUUUGUGGUUUUUUUUUUUAAGAAAUAAAUCAAAACUCAUUGAAUA